ACCAGUGUAGGCUAAGCACCAUACACAGCUGUAAGUACAUUUGUUUUGUUUAUAGAGGUGAGUGCUUUUCUUUUAAGGUCUGUAAUUUUUUAUUGUGUGUUGGAGGGGGCAAGAUGUUUCAAUAGUUUGCUUUCUUUUUAUUUCAUUCUGUGGGCUUUGCAUUUGCCUAGAAUUUCUGGUUAUGGGACACCUUGUUGCUGUUCUUCUUUCCAUGUGGGAUGAUGCUUUGGCUCUAGAGCUUUUGCAGUUUGUAAUGGGCACCUUGUAGGUUAUAAUAAUCUGGAAUUCAGUUUGCAAGGCUAGAGUGAGAGUUUGAAUCCGUGGGCUGGCAGAAGAUAGGAGUGGCCAGCAGAACACAGGGAAGGGCUCAGAAGCACAGCUCCCAAGGAACAGCAACAGUGAAGAGUCAGAGGGCUCAAAAAGAGGGUAGGUGCUGUUAGGAAGGAGCAGAGUUCUUUCUUUGGCCAUUCAGGAGUGGAGAAGUACUUUAAUGGUUUGGGGGAUGGUUAAGGGAAGCGAGAUGGGUUCAUCGAUCUUUCUCAGUUUAGUUUGGCAGUCAUAUGUGAGGGCCAUCCACGUUUGCCCUCUCUGCAGCUGAUGGGCGAUACGAUGAAGUUGAGACACAAGGUAUGGAUCAUCUUGACCUUUGUGCAGCAAUCAUCUGGUUUGAACAUCAGAUGAGUUUGAUCUUGAAAAGCAUCAACUACACUCAAAACGUAAUCUCUAGGGCUCUGAGAUGUCUCCUUCCUUGUGCCUUCUACUUCCCUUGUUCCCCCACUGACUUCUUUGGAUGCAUCCUGUCUCCAUCCAUCUGAAUGUCAGAGACCUCACUACUUAAAGGUAUGGACUCAGUGCUUUUCUGCAAUGCAGAAUUCUGUCCCUACUUUCCUUUGUGUUUGUCAGGGAAGAGGAUGGAUGUUAUCUUGGCUUGUGACAGUUAGAAGCAGAGCAACUCUUUUUCAUCUAGUCUGUGGGCACGCAAGCCUCCCUUACUACCAGAGUCUUGGAUUUUUCCUUAACUUACCAGUGAGGUUUGCUCUAGUAUCAUUUGCAGUAGCUGUUACCUCAUCCUUGUUAUCAGUUGUGGUUUUUAUGGUCAUUGAGUUUCCAAUUUAGGUCUUUGAGUAGUCGAAUCCCACCAUUGUGAGUUUUUUCCAUUGGCUGAUGGUCUCUGUAAUUCCUGUCUCCAUUGCUGCAUGCUAGGUAGUCUGCGAACAUCUGGAUCCUUGUGGCUCAUCUUUCUGUUGUCCUGGGUAUCGCCACUACUGCAUUCCUACAAUGGGAGCGGUGAAGAGGAGAGGUGCUGUGUGGGCCACCUUGGGAAUGGGAAGAGCAUUUCAGAUGAGCGGAGUAGUACAGAGAAGAAGCACAAGACAGACUUCUCACAAGAACAACAGUAAUUCUCUGGAGUUACUUGUCCCAGAUGGCAAAGAGGAACCUGGUGACCGCAGGAUCAUCCCACAUAGCUGAUGCUGUUGGAGGUUUUUUUUUUUUCUACUGAGGAUAACUCUUGGCCUUCUGAAAGUUAAGUUGAGGGACCAAGGCUGGGG